ACAGGUGUGAGCCAGCAUGGCUAGCCAAAUGGAACACUUUUAAUAUUGCAUGCAAUACAUUCAUAGUGAGGUUUGGUCAUGGUGUGUAUAAAGCCUGAAUGGAGAGAGUAGAGGGAAGGUUCUGGUAUAUAGAGGAGAGAAAUUUUGCAGAGCUCUUUGACCACCACAGGAAGAAAAGGGGAAAAUGUAGUUGAAAAAAAAAACACAUAGGCAGGAAUAUCACAAGUAGAGAAGCAACGGUUUUUGAAGUUCUAAACAUGUAACAUUCCAGGAGGAAAAGUGGACACAGCCUCUGAACUGGGACACAUUUACCCAAAACCCAGUCAUUUUAUUCUCUUUUUUACUUAUUCUCUGAGAUUCCUUGUCAGGCGAGAUCCUCUGGAAAAAAUAAAACUUGCUUCUUUUUUUUUUUUUUGAGACUGAGUCUCACUCUGUCAUCCAGGCACCCAGUGGUGCGAUCUCUGCUUACUGCAACCUCCGCCUCUCGGGUUCAAGUGAUUCUCCUGCCUCAGCCUCCUGAGUAGCUGGGGUUACGGGUGCGCACCAUCAUGCGUGGCUAAUUUUUGUAUUUUCAGUAGAGGCUGGGUUUCACUGUGUUGGUCAGGCUGGUCUCAAACUCCUGACCUUGUGAUCCGCCCACCUCAGCAUCCCAAAGUGUUGGGAUUACAGGAGUGAGCCACCAUGCCCGGCCAAAACUUGCAUCUUGAGAAUAUUCCUGUAAAGGCAUCAACACAACCCCUUCACCUGCUACCACUGCACCCACAGGCAGAAGGAUGUAGAAGUGCAUAAAAAGUCACACUUCUCUGUCUUUUAUCCCAGGAGAGAGUCAGGAACAGUGAGCUCCUACAUAAAGAUCAACAUUUGUUUCUCCUUUCCCUCCUGCAAGUGCCUGUCUCUGCCAAAGAUUUCAGUAAUUUCUGCUGCAGCAAUGGGAAUAAUGGCUGCACUGGCCUGCUUCUAUCAAACCCAAGCAGAGCAGGGUCUGCAACUUCCCUUUGAAACAAGGGCUGACGGGAGGCGGAGGUUGCAGUGAGCCGAGAUUGCGCCACUGCACUCCAGCCUGGGUGAUGACAGCAAAACUCCAUCUCAAAAAAAAAU
rnacentral:lncRNA from 10 species